rnacentral:sRNA from 1 species
AGGUGAAAACAGCUACUAUUGCCACUGAGAGGAAUGGGAAACCAGAGAACAAUACCAUGAACAUUAAUGCUUCCAUUUAUGAUGAGAUUCAGCAGGAAAUGAAGCGCGCUAAAGUGUCUCAAGCACUGUUUGCAAAGGUUGCAGCAACCAAAAGCCAGGGAUGGUUGUGCGAGCUGUUACGCUGGAAAGAAGAUCCUUCUCCAGAAAACAGAACCCUGUGGGAGAACCUCUCCAUGAUCCGAAGGUUCCUCAGUCUUCCUCAGCCAGAACGUGAUGCCAUUUAUGAACAGGAGAGCAAUGCGGUGCAUCACCAUGGCGACAGGCCGCCCCACAUUAUCCAUGUUCCAGCAGAGCAGAUUCAGGUUCGUUUACUUUGGCCAAUUCAAUAUAGCAGUAAGUAAAUAAAGCUUUAAACUUAGCAGGGAAAUUAGCGUUUCUCUUCUUCCUGCCAGUCUAACCAUAGGCUUUUUAGCAAGAGAUAACAAUACACUGCCAUCUUGCUCAGGGGAUAAAAUGAAAAUUAACAUACUUUUUCCAACGUAUGUAUUGU